rnacentral:rRNA from 1 species
UACAGAGGCCUCGAGCGUUAGGCGGAAUCACUGGGCUUAAAGCGUGUGUAGGUGGAUGCCUAAGUACCUUGUGAAAUCCCUCGGCUUAACCGGGGAACUGCGUCUGAUACUGGAUGGCUUGAGGUUGGGAGAGGGAUGCGGAAUUCCAGGUGUAGCGGUGAAAUGCUUAGAUAUCGUCAAGAACACCGAUAGCGAAGGCAGCUUACUAGGCUGUAACUGACGCUGAGGCACGAAAGUGUGGGGAUCAAACAGG